rnacentral:lncRNA from 1 species
GAAUGACAUGGUCUGACUUGUAGUUUUGAAAUGAUCAUUCUCAUUCUUGUAUGGAAAUAAUAUUGUCGGACCCCAGAAUUAAAGCAGAGGCCCAGAGAGAAGGUUGUUUCUUUAGCCCAAGGAAGAAAUUAUCUUUCCUUUCACUCUUUCAGUGGUAAUAGAGAUGGAAGAAAUAGAAUCCUGAUAUAUAUCAGAUAUAAAAUUGGAAUCAAUGGAGGAUGCAUUCAAUAAGCUGAAAGAAGGAAAGAUGAAAUUUAAACAUGACUCCUAGAGGUUUUUACUUGAACAACUAUGUGAUUAAUAGAUCCAUUUGCAAAGAUUGUGAAGACAGACUGAAUUUGGAUACCAAAAGCUUGCAUCUGGCUUCUCUAAUGAUCCACAGUAGAAAAAAGAUAGCAGAAACCAUAGUCCUGUAGAAACUCCUACACGGAGUAUGUAUAAGACUGUGUUAGGGUUUCCUAGAGAAGCAGAACCAAAUGUAUGUACAAUGUGUGUAUGUCUCUCUCUGUGUGUGUGCAUGCCUGUGUAUUUAGGUGUGUGUGUGUAUGUAUAAAAUAGAUAUCCUAUUUUAGAUAUAUGCAUAUAUGAGAAUAUACUCUUACAUGUGUAUCCCAUUUUAAUAUACAUACAUGUAUAUUAAAGAGAGGAAGAGAGACAGAGAUGGAUAAGUAGAUAUUGAUUUUGUAUAAGGGUAUUUGUAUAUUAGUAUAUUAGAUAAUGAGAUGGGUCUGCUAUCUGCAAGCUGGAUAUCCAGAAAAGCCAGUGAUGUAGUUCAGUCUGAGACUGACUUCCUGAGAACCAGGCAAGCUAAUGGCAUAAGUUCCUACCUGAGGGCCAGAGAACAUGAGAUAGAUAACCUGGCUCAAGAAGAAAGGCAGAAAGCAAAAGAAUCAAAUGAGUCCUUCCUGUUGUUUAGGCCCUUGGUGGAGCUACAUGAUGCCCACCUAGACCAUGGGAGACAGCACACUGAAUUCAAGGAUUCAAAGGUUAACAUCACCUAGAAACACCCACACCGAUUCAUCCAGAAAUAACAUUUAAUCUAGGGACCCUGGGCACAGCUAAGUUGAUACAUAAAAUUAAUCUUCUCAGUGACCAUCCCAAGCAUGCUACUACAUUUUGAUUUUCUGUAGGUCAAUUACUGAGUCAAAAAAGGUCACAAGACACAUCAUGAUUCAUCUUAGAGAAGAUGUAGUUAGACUGAUUAUUUUGUAUUUUCUAGUUUUCAAAAGACGAAAAACAAAUAGAGGUUCUAUUUCAUUCAACAAGUUCAUUCUUGGCUGGGGUAUGAGGGAUUCGGUCACUGGAAAUGUUUCUUAGUGAUUAUGAAGAAAUUAUUAUGAAACAUUAUCUAUGCUUACAAAAAUGUAAGGAAAAGCACAUGUAGCAUUAUAUGUAAAUGUGACACAUUGUCCAGGAAGCAUUCCUAAGCUAAUCCUUUCUCUUUGAAAUGAAUGCCAAUCCUAAAAGAAAAAAACAAAAACAAAAAACUUUUGGUAUUUGAGGUUUAGUUAUGUUUAAAAACUAAAAUUUGGGCUGGGGAUGUGGCUCAAGUGGUAGCGCGCUCGCCUGGCAUGCGUGCGGCCCGGGUUCGAUCCUCAGCACCACAUACAGACAAAGAUGUUGUGUCCUCCAAA